CCUAAUUUGCGGUCUUCCCUUUUCGUUUUGCCCGUUGUUUUUUCGAAUCCUCUGAUUCUCUUUGGUGUUCUGUUCUCUGUUUCGUGGAAAGAGUUCCUGAUUUUCGUCUUUAAGGGAUUUUCUUUGUGGGUUUCCAAAGUUGUGAUCGAGGCAAGAAUUCGCAGUGUUUGCCAUUUUCUCCGUCUAGGAUUUCCGGGUUGUGGCCGGAUUUUUGGCCGAUUUCCAGCCCAGUUUGGGGGCGGCAUGUUCUAGAUCGCUGUGGAACAGCUCUUAUUCAGCUAUAUAAGCCAUAUCCUCAUAUAAACAAGUGGAAGGUUUACAGGACAUUAACAAAUUAGUUGAGCUAGCAGUUCCUUUACUUUGUGAUGUCCCUGGUGUGGGUGAAAAAAAUGUUAAGGUAGUUGGGAAGAUUUAGCAAUGCCUUUUUUGUGUGCUUUACUUUAUUACGUUUUGAUAGGAGGUUCAGCAACAGAUUACUAAAAUUAUCACUUACAUAUAUAGCCUCCACCACAAAGUAAUUUACUAAGAAAUGUAAAGUACUUUGUCUUCUGGGUUAGUGUUCUCUAAUUUAGAUUAGACAUCAGGGCUUUGAGCUUGGUAAGGUUUCUUUUCUUAAUGUACCUCAUUUUUUUUAUUUUUUUUUCUUUUUGGAGUUUUUGAUUUACAGAUAAAUUCUACGUUUAAAUUCUCUUUUUGUGAUCCUGCAGAUUUUGUCUCUGUAAUCAGAUGGUUGAUAUCACUGUCUGAUAUUGUUCUUCUUCACUUUCAAGAAGCACCCGUGUUUAUUGAAGUUUCCUACAGCCAAAUUGGAAUCAAUCUGAAAGAACUGCAUCUAUUCGCCGUCUUCAAGGUCAGCUCAUAACUCUGUAACCAUCCACGUAUAGAACUUUAUCCAUUUUUAUCAUUGUGGUAUCAAUACAAAUGUACUCUUAUUUUUUGAGGUGGGAUUGGUCUUAAAACACAAGAACCAAAAUUUAAUUGAUCCCAUUGUUCUGUACACAAAAAUUCCAUCGACCCAAAAA